CGGAGGCGUCUGGGUGUGCGGAGCGCGCGCGCGCGCGGCUCGGAGGCGCACCUGUGAGGUGUCCCUAGAGGAGAGGGAGGGUGGGUGCGCGGAGCCCGCGGCCUGGGGCGCUUCAACCCCUCACUUGGAGGCGCCCGGCGUCCCCGCGGAGCCCGACGAGCAUCCUGCGCAGGUGAUGAGGGGCCCCUGGCGCCCCCGGCGCGGAACGCAGCCGCCGCUGGACGCCUCCAUUGUUUGACCACCGCCCGGGCCGAUUCUUAGCCAGGAUCCGAAGGCUUCUGUAGCCCUCCAGCCACUGUGGGCCCUGCCUCUGCCUCUUCUGCUGCGAUGUCUUGCGGGCCUUGACUCCUGACACUGUGACCUGCAAACCCAAGGACACCGCUCUCUGGAAGACAAGAGCUGCUUUCUCAAGACCAGAAAAGGAAACAGGGGUGCUGCCUCUGCAGGGCACCCUCAGAAGGGAGGAGCCUCACACCUGGGCCACUGAGCGUGUUUCCAGGGCCAGCUCCUGUCUGACGUGUAGGAGGCAGAAUGUCACCCUGACUCUUCAAGGGCAGCCUUCAGGGGAUCAAGACCCACACGCAAGCAUCUCACCGUCUGCUGCAAGGGACACAGUGUGGUCCUUUCUCUGCAAGCGAGGAGAACGAGGCCGCUCCACAGAGGAAGGUUCCGGGGGCUUAAAAACGUGAAGGCUCGCUCCUCAGGAGCCCCUGGGGAUGCUGACAUCUCAGGGCCUAAAAGAAAGCUCUGUGUUAAGGAGCUCCAGGGUUCAUGUGGGAGUGAAUGUCACUUUAUAAUCAAUAGCAGUACUGAGUGAGGAGCACUAUGCAGGAAGGCACCUUCCAUAGAAAGACAGGCAGGGAAAAGCUUAGGCCAGCCACGAACCUCCCGGAGGGAGCAAGCCUGAGAUAGGUUGCCAGCAUGGCCACCUGAGAGACUGGAGGCCUCAGCCACCCCAUACCUGUAGUAGUCGUAAGGAAUUUCUCCUCUAAGUCACGAUACCAAAUAGGAAAAAUGAUCUACAAGUGCCCCAUGUGUAGGGAAUUUUUCUCUGAGAGAGCUGACCUUUUUAUGCAUCAGAAAGUUCACACAGCUGAGAAGCCCCAUAAGUGUGACAAGUGUGACAAGGGUUUCUUUCAUAUAUCAGAACUUCACAUCCAUUGGCGAGACCACACGGGAGAGAAGGUCUACAAAUGUGAUGAUUGCGGUAAGGAUUUUAGUACCACAACAAAACUUAACAGACAUAAGAAAAUCCACACAGUAGAAAAGCCCUAUAAGUGUUAUGAGUGUGGCAAAGCCUUCAAUUGGAGCUCACAUCUUCAAAUUCACAUGAGAGUUCAUACAGGUGAGAAACCCUAUGUCUGUAGCGAGUGUGGGAGGGGCUUUAGUAAUAGUUCAAACCUUUGCAUGCAUCAGAGAGUCCACACCGGAGAGAAGCCCUUCAAAUGUGAAGAGUGUGGGAAGGCCUUCAGGCACACUUCCAGCCUCUGCAUGCAUCAGAGAGUCCACACCGGAGAGAAACCCUAUAAAUGUUAUGAGUGUGGGAAGGCCUUCAGCCAGAGCUCCAGCCUCUGCAUCCACCAGAGAGUGCACACUGGGGAGAAGCCCUAUAGAUGUUGUGGGUGCGGGAAGGCCUUCAGCCAGAGCUCCAGCCUCUGCAUCCACCAGAGAGUGCACACUGGGGAGAAGCCUUUUAAAUGCGAUGAGUGUGGGAAGGCCUUCAGUCAGAGCACCAGCCUCUGCAUCCACCAGAGAGUGCACACAAAGGAGAGAAACCAUCUCAAAAUAUCAGUUAUAUAAAGCGUUUUGCUAAGAGUUAAAAAUCUUAAAACCCAUAAGUGCCACUAGGAAGGAAACCCUGUAAAUACCUGCAUUGACCCGAGAAAUUUUUACAGCAGGCCCUAGCAGAACAUUCUUUUCAAUGAGGUGUAUGUGAGGCUGACUUAGAUUCAUGCCAAGUGUGUCCCACCACCGGGCUUGAAUCUGGGGUCCCUCUGGGUGUCUGCCUGAGAUGGGCUGUGAGGUCCCAGCACAGCACCCGCAGCAGCAUGGGCGUGCGUCUCCCAGGGUUCCAGCGUGAUGCCUCUGCCCUUGACUACUACACAGGGAACCGUGGUCAUGGCGCAGCCUGCUGUGUCACCCUCACCCGGCAGGCCCCCCGGGACUCCCCGUCGGGGGCUCACGACCCCCUUCUCUUGAUUCAGGCAUACCCAUCACUGCAUUUGAGAUGGAGAGCUCCCACCGAGACAGCGUUCUGGCACUUCUGAGGCUCCACUUGACUCAGCCGCUGUGUAGGUCCCAUUAUUUCUACACGCACUUGCCUGUAUGUCCUCAAAAUACCCAUAAAUGUCCGCCCCUUCCUAGAUGGCAUCAAGUUUCAUUUUAGAUUUUAGGUUACUCAUAAUUUCCAUUCAUGUGGCCUAUUUGAGGAAUUGGUGGCAGACAUACAUGCCCUUGAACUUUUUUUUUUUUUUUAAUUUUGUGGAUUCUGCUAAUCACUGCAUCUCUGUUAGACUUACUUUUCUAGUGGCUACAUCACAUUUUUUAACUUGAAUUUUUUUUUGAAGUAGCUGAAUGUAAAUAGGGAGGAAGAAGCAAGCAAGGUCAGAGCUUUUCUCCAUCCAGAAGCGCCCACCCUGGCCCCUUGUGUAGCGCAGAGCCCCUGCCAGCCAGGAGGAGUGGGUGGCAGGAGGAGGCACUGCCACGGUUUAGUCCCGUUUCUGCCAUUUUGGGCAGUGACGAGUAGGAGUGCUCGGUAACCCCGUCACUGAGGAUUAUGUGCCGGUUCCUUUGUCAGCAUGCUGGUUAUCCUUUUCUUCAUUCAUUCCCUCAACAAGUAUUUAUUGGACACCUCCUAUGUGCCAGGCACCGUGCUGGGUGCUGGGAACACCACUGAGUAAGACAGUCGAGGGCCCCUGCUCAUGGAGUUUACUUCUGGUGGAGGAGACAGGCGAUACGCAAGUAAACAAAUAAAUAAUGUAGUUUGAGAUAGUGAUUAAGUGCUAUGAAGAAGAUAAACUAGGGCGAUGAUUU